UUUCCGUAGGUGAACCUGCGGAAGGAUCAUUGUCGAAACU
rnacentral:rRNA from 3 species